ensembl:snRNA U7 U7 small nuclear RNA
AAGUGUCACAGCUCUUUUAGAAUUUAUCUAGCAGGUUUUCUGGUUUUCAUUGGAAGACUCCC